GAUGAACGCUAGCCACAGGCUUAACACAUGCAAGUCGAGGGGUAACGAGAGGAAAGCUUGCUUUCCUUGUCGACGACCGGCGCACGGGUGAGUAACGCGUAUCCAACCUGCCCCCAACUAGGGAAUAACCUUGCGAAAGUAAGACUAAUACCCCAUAAUUUCCUCAGAUGUCAUCUGACGAGGAAUAAAGAUUUAUCGGUUGUGGAUGGGGAUGCGUCUGAUUAGCUUGUUGGCGGGGUAACGGCCCACCAAGGCAACGAUCAGUAGGGGUUCUGAGAGGAAGGUCCCCCACAUUGGAACUGAGACACGGUCCAAACUCCUACGGGAGGCAGCAGUGAGGAAUAUUGGUCAAUGGGCGGAAGCCUGAACCAGCCAAGUAGCGUGCAGGAUGACGGCCCUAUGGGUUGUAAACUGCUUUUAUACAGGAAUAAAGUUAGCCACGUGUGGUUAUUUGUAGGUACUGUAUGAAUAAGGACCGGCUAAUUCCGUGCCAGCCGCCGCAGUAA
rnacentral:rRNA from 1 species